rnacentral:rRNA from 1 species
GACGAACGCUGGCGGCGUGCUUAACACAUGCAAGUCGAACGGAAAGGCCCUGCUUUUGUGGGGUGCUCGAGUGGCGAACGGGUGAGUAACACGUGAGUAACCUGCCCUUGACUUUGGGAUAACUUCAGGAAACUGGGGCUAAUACCGGAUAGGAGCUCCUGCUGCAUGGUGGGGGUUGGAAAGUUUCGGCGGUUGGGGAUGGACUCGCGGCUUAUCAGCUUGUUGGUGGGGUAGUGGCUUACCAAGGCUUUGACGGGUAGCCGGCCUGAGAGGGUGACCGGCCACAGUGGGACUGGGAUGCGGCCCAGACCCCUACGGGAGGCAGCAGUGGGGAAUAUUGCACAAUGGGGGGAAGCCUGAUGGAGCAACGCCGCGUGCGGGAUGACGGCCUUCGGGUUGAAACCCGCUUUCGCCUGUGACGAAGCGUGAGUGACGGUAAUGGGUAAAGAAGCACCGGCUAACUACGU